UCAACCUUAAAUCGCAACGGUAAUUCCGAGGAUUAAGCACAACAAUAACGGAUAAUUUGUAUUGGUAAGUGUAGUUGCGGUUGGAAAUUCCUGCAGUAGCCUUUACCAGCCACCCAACAUUGUCGUUCUCACCACUCCUUCUGCUUCUUAAAGCUCUUUGAGGCAGUAGUCAAUUUCUCGUUCGGUUCAGUCGGUCAAUUUGUCGCUUGUUCUAGUCGAGUAUCUGUCUGGGAUGUAGUCAGUCGUUGAGUCAUACAGGCGAACAAACUGGCGGGCGGAUACUCAGAUAGCAGCAAUUUGAAUGCAAUGGAUUUUCCCAUCGAUUGUUGACACGAGCACUCAAUUGUUGGCUCAUAAACUAUUUGUAGUGAAAUGUAAUGUAUUUGUUUGGAAGUCAUUACAUACUCGUAUUAACAAUGAAUAAUGAAAACUGUGUCAAAAUACAUUUACCUAGCUACGCUUGGCAAAUAAUAUAACUGAUCACAAUAAAAUUAUAAUUUAAAAGCAGAGGUAUGAAGGAUACUUGAACGAAAAUUAUUUAAUGAGCU